ACGAGACAUCUAACAAAUCCUUAAUUCGGAAUUUGGAAAGAAAGCGUUAUUCCCAUCCAGAAUUGGAUUAUCCAUAGCAGGGAAAUUUGUUAAUUUCCUUUUCAUCAGCAAACACAGGGAUAAUAAAUAACAAAAAUCUUCUUUGGUUUGGCUCAGUUGCGGUCGCGCGAAAAAGAUAAGAGAAUGUGGGCUGCGCUGUUAGUGGUGUCUUGAUUUGGAACUCUGGCUUCUUCAUAUGGGAAUUUUAAUUUGAUUGAUCUUUCUGCUAAUUUCAAAGAAUAUCUUUCUGCUAAUUAUAUGGAACUCUACCUUCUUCAUUUGGGAACGAUGGAUUUAGAUUUUGGUCUUAUUGUUUGGUGGACUUGGCUUCAU
rnacentral:misc_RNA from 1 species